UACGUAGGGACCGAGCGUUGUCCGGAAUCAUUGGGCGUAAAGAGCGCGUAGGCGGCCAGAUAAGUCCGGUGUGAAAGUCACAGGCUCAACCUGUGAAUGCCGCUGGAAACUGUCUGGCUUGAGUCCGGGAGGGGCGAGUGGAAUUCCUGGUGUAGCGGUGAAAUGCGCAGAUAUCAGGAGGAACACCAAUGGCGAAGGCAGCUCGCUGGAACGAUACUGACGCUGAGGCGCGAAAGCGUGGGGAGCAAACAGG
rnacentral:rRNA from 1 species